ensembl:lncRNA
CAGGCAAGUGCCUGCAAGUCAUAGUACCUCAGGGAUUCCAAUCAACAUUUGCUUGCUGGUGAGUGGUUCUACUUCAAGUUAAGAAACAAAUUCUCAUGGCAAACUGCUUGGAUACUGUUUCCCAAAAGUUAGAAGAACCAAGCCUGCAAGGUGGCAUGGAUUCCUCCGGAAGGACUCCACCCAACUUUGGUCUCAGCAGGCCCUGCUGAGAACAGCCUCGUCACAGAAAAGUGCUGAGGAGGAUGCAAAAGUCUCCAUCAAGGUGCCACUGUGAAAGAAGAAACAUAUUUGCUGGACAAAGCUCUCCUUGAAGACAGGACCAUGUCUUAUUCAACUUUGUAAUCCCAGGACCUGGCACAAAAGCUGGCACCUAUUCAGUGCCUUGGUUCUUUGAGUGUGGCCCUGGACCAGAAGCAUCAACAUCAACCAGGAACUUACUAGAAAUGCACUUUCUUGGGUGCCCCACAAGACCUGCUGAAUCAGAAACUCUGGGGAUGUAGUUCAACACCUGUGCGCUGACAAGCCCUCCAGGUGAUCCGGAUACAUGCUCACGUUUGAGAACCGUGGCUUUACGGGAGAAAACAGUCAUGAUUGCUUACAACAGAAUACCAUAAAUUGCUUUUUGAAAAGCAGUGCAAUAUAUGGGCAUACUAAAAUUGAAGCAUGACAGAUAAAUAUGACAUCAGGAUGUCAUCCAAUGAAAAAUAGAUUUUUUAUUCUGUGUCCUGGACACGGCAUUGCUGAUUUUUAUUUAUCCACCUUUCUCCUGCCUGAGGGAAAACAAGUAUUUAAAAUGCAUUGCUAUUUGCAUUGAUAUAUUUGUCUGCUCUUCUCUGUCUGGCUCCAUGCUCUGUGGGGCUGACUCCUGUGGACUGGAUCUCCUGAGCUUGGUGCUGACUGGAUGCUGGUUGGUUCAACCAAUAAAAGUCACCAUCCAGGGACUGGAGGACAUGAUGAAAGGGAGGUUGGGGCAUUUCCUCCAGCUGUCACGCACUGUCUCUGAAGAGCUUGUCUGCUCCCUGAAGCCUCAAGAUCAUUCCUCAAAGACACGGAGUGCUGAUUGGGACAUCCCGCAGGUUAAAGUGAGUUUCGGACUCGAUGGUUCUGCACAGCAAAGCUGGGCCGUGUCCCACUUCAACCUCACUUUAUGGGAUUUACGGCACAUUUUGAAGAUGAGUGAUUAGAAGAUAAAGACUGGAGAAGUUUGCUCCUUGGUGACUGAGGUAAGGAGGGAUGUAUGUGGAGCAUUUUGAAUUUAGUUUUGAUGGUCUUUUGAAGGAAACUGGGUUCCUUGGACCCAGCUUGUGAUCCAGAGACUUCAUGUGGAGAAGAUGGGGAAUUUCUGAUAGGCCAGGCAUACCUACCCUAUGGCAGUGGUAGAGCUGGAUUUUGGCUUCUCAAAGAGAGUUGAAAUUUUAAGAACUUGUCCUCAGGAAAUUAAUCAUUGUGGCACACAAAUUUAAGCAUGAGGAUACUCACUAUCAUCUUAUUUUUAAUAAAAUCUGCAAAUACUUUGACUAUACAACAAUAAGAAACUGGUUAAACAAAUUCUGACACAUUCAUGAUGGAAUUCUGUGUAG